rnacentral:rRNA from 1 species
UACGUAGGGUGCAAGCGUUAAUCGGAAUUACUGGGCGUAAAGCGUGCGCAGGCGGUUAUAUAAGACAGAUGUGAAAUCCCCGGGCUCAACCUGGGAACUGCAUUUGUGACUGUAUAGCUAAAGUACGGCAGAGGGGGAUGGAAUUCCGCGUGUAGCAGUGAAAUGCGUAGAUAUGCGGAGGAACACCGAUGGCGAAGGCAAUCCCCUGAGCCUGUACUGACGCUCAUGCACGAAAGCGUGGGGAGCAAACAGG